AUUGAACGCUGGCGGCAGGCCUAACACAUGCAAGUCGAGCGGAUGAAGGGAGCUUGCUCCUGGAUUCAGCGGCGGACGGGUGAGUAAUGCCUAGGAAUCUGCCUGGUCGUGUGGGCUAACGUACUGAAACGGGCGCUAAUACAGCAUACGUCCUGAGGGAGAAAGUGGGGGAUCUUCGGACCUCACGCUAUCAGAUGAGCCUAGGUCGGAUUAGCUAGUUGGUGGGGUAAAGGCCUACAAAGGCGACGAUCCGUUACUGGUCUGAGAGGAUGAUCAGUCACAAUUGAACUGGGACACGGUCCAGACUCCUACGGGAGGCAGCAGUGGGGAAUAUUGGACCAUGGGCGGAAGCCUUAUCCAGCCAUGCCGGGUGUGUGGAGAAGGGCUUCGGAUUGUAAAGCACUUUAAGUUGGGAGAGAGGGCAGGAAGUUAAUACCUUGCUGUUUUGACGGUACCAAAAGAAUAAGGCCCGGCUAACUUCGUG
rnacentral:rRNA from 1 species